CAGUGGUUUUGUUGUUUUCAUGCAGAAGUCCUCAUCUCCUGAAGCUGCAAGAAGAGACAGAGCCCAGCCUGAUAAUCUGAGGACUGAACUUCAAAGGUCACCCAGCCAAAAUAAUCUACUCUGCCUGCCCAAGUGUGAAGCCUAGUGUGAAACCUACUCCAGAGGUGAAACCCCACCAAGAGAUGAAAACCACUUUGGGAAAUACCUUAUGUCUGAUAUUUUCUUCUUCAUUUUUUGAUAGGACUUUUUUUUUCCUGCUCAAAAGUGACUAUCUGGUAGUACAUUCCCAGAGGAUCCUGGCCAGGUAACAGAGAAGUCUGAAAGGCUACCUUGAGAUAAGGUACUAACAGCCUGUGGUAGCUUUAAUAGAAUAUUCUGGUUUAAAUAACAACCUUGAACAUCCAACUUAUUCAGAUUCAACAAACAUCUAUCGAGUAUUUACCCUCUGCAGAUAAGACAAGGCCAUGUAUUAGAUGUUUCCUCAUGUGUUAUAUCAUUUAGUGAUUACAACAAACAUCAAAGGUAGCAUCCCUACUUUACAAAGUAAAACACAGAUACUCAGAAAGGGUAAUUUAUUCACUGAAAGUCAAAGUGAGAUGAAUUCAAACAUAGGUCCUCUAACACCCAGGGCACAGACUGAUGAUGUUCAUGACCAGCUGAGUUUAUGAAAUCUCUUACGCUGUCUGUCCCUAAUCUGCCUAUACAUUAGCAAGGUGUAGAGAAGCACCAUGCUUCUGUCCAACAUAACAGGGUUAGAAGGUCACUUUUCUGCAUGUUUCUACAUUAUUUUCAAAACUGCCAUUCAUCUGCGUUUUCAAAUAAAUAUCAACAAAAUUACUUUUGUUAGCCUGUAGUUACUUUGCUAUCCUACAGCCUUAGUCACAUGUAAGCAGAUUACUAGAGCAGCAUGUGUUUCAAAUCUCUUCCUGGGAAGGAGUCAACAGGUGGAAAAACAAAUGCUAAGCAAACCAUCUAGAAGACUCCUUCUCAAGGCUUUAAAUGCAAAACAAUGUGGAUAGGACACAUGGAUAUAUCGUGCCAUCUUCUGCUUUAGAAAAUGAUUACUUUGCACCUGUGACCCAUUUACUAAACCUCAAAACUCUUGGUUUAAGAUAUGUUGUUUUGUAAUUAA
ensembl:lncRNA novel transcript